CCAGCCAGGCAAGCACCUCCGUCGCCAUAUUUCCGGCGAUUGGCCACCCAGGCCAUGGGUUGGGCCGUCGCCAGCGUGGCUCUCCCGAUGGAUUAUGCUCCUUCCUCCUUCAGGCGCCUUGUCGGCGCUAUCAACGCUGGCCGACUACCAGCUGAAUCUGUAUCUCUCUUUCUCUCAAACGGAAACACCGACAUCCAUAUUGAUACAUGUUUCAUAUGCAGGAGGGAGGGAAGAGAUUCAAGAGAAUGAAAGUAUGCAGUGGUUUCCCUUCCUGGACAACUGCGGCCUCGGAUGGGCAAUCAACUGGUGGUAUGGUGCUGCAGUCAUCGUGGAUCCUUUGGUGAGACAUAUGCAAUGUCCAUAGUUUUCAACAAAAGGUGCUGUACAUUUUCUUAGCUCAUGGUCUGAAAUGAACCAGGAUUUUCUCCUUGAUUAUUUGUGACAUGGAAAAACUGCAAUGCUUAUGCUGCACCAUGUAGACCAUGUGUGCAAUUUCAAGCACCAAAAUGGUCCAACGGUAGACCAUUCUUGCCAAGGGUCAUGGUGCCCAGCAAAUCCUGGUGAAGUUCCAUAUGAAACUGCAGACUGCAGGUAGACAGACAGAGGCUGCAUUACAAUCUUACCAAUUAGAGUCUGGAAAGUUAUCCAUGGGAAUGAUCUGUACAGGAACGAUCGACGUUUUGAAGGGUUCUUGAUUUUGGCUACCGCAGUUGUCCCAACUUUUCACUUAAGGUCACUAUUUUUAGA